rnacentral:rRNA from 1 species
AUUGAACGCUGGCGGCAGGCCUAACACAUGCAAGUCGAGCGGAGCGGCGGACGGGUGAGUAAUUCCUAGGAAUCUGCCUUGUAGUUGGGGAUAACGUCCGGAAACGGGCGCUAAUACCGCAUACUACCAGAUGAGCCUAGGUCGGAUUAGCUAGUUGGUUGGGUAAAGGCCUACCAAGGCGACGAUCCGUAACUGGUCUGAGAGGAUGAUCAGUCACACUGGAACUGAGACACGGUCCAGACUCCUACGGGAGGCAGCAGUGGGGAAUAUUGGACAAUGGGCGAAAGCCUGAUCCAGCCAUGCCGCGUGUGUGAAGAAGGUCUUCGGAUUGUAAAGCACUUUAAGUUGGGAGGCGUUACCAACAGAGAAAGCAACGGCUAACUUCGUGCCAGCAGCCGCGGUAAUAC